UACGUAGGGGGCAAGCGUUGUCCGGAUUUAUUGGGCGUAAAAAGCUCGUAGGCGGUUUGGUAAGUCGGAUGUGAAAUCUCCAGGCUCAACCUGGAGGGGUCAUUCGAUACUGCCAUGACUAGAGUUCGGUAGGGGAGUGUGGAAUUCCUGGUGUAGCGGUGAAAUGCGCAGAUAUCAGGAGGAACACCAAUGGCGAAGGCAGCUCGCUGGGACGUGAUUGACGCUGAGACGCGAAAGCGUGGGGAGCAAACAGG
rnacentral:rRNA from 1 species